UACAGAGGUCUCAAGCGUUGUUCGGAUUCAUUGGGCGUAAAGGGUGCGUAGGCGGCGCGGUAAGUCGGAUGUGAAAUCUCGGGGCUUAACUCCGAAACUGCAUUCGAUACUACCGUGCUUGAGGACUGGAGGGGAGACUGGAAUUUACGGUGUAGCGGUGAAAUGCGUAGAUAUCGUAAGGAAGACCAGUGGCGAAGGCGGGUCUCUGGACAGUUCCUGACGCUGAGGCACGAAGGCCAGGGGAGCAAACGGG
rnacentral:rRNA from 1 species